UCCCAACGUUAACUUACCGCCACGUGAUCUCCUUGAACUUGUGAACUUUAUUUGAUUCUCCCAAUUUCAAUUUUUAUUCGCCUUUCUGGUGUCUUUCUGCUUUGGAAGAACGAACGAACCCAACAAUAGAGCGAAGCUAGCUUUCUCUCAUCUUUUGGAGGAUCAAAUAUUGUUGCCGGAAUGUGGUUGGGUGUUUCCGUUUUCCACUAAGCCCUAGACACUACUUGGGUCCUCUGUGAGAUCUCAUCCUUAGUCUUCUUCAAAUUUGAAAAUCAAGGCUCCUUUCCAUUUCGUUCCAAUUUCUGGGGUAUCGGUUUAGCACCUUGCUGCCUUUGUAUUACUCUUUCUCUAUUAUUUAUUUCUGGUUGUACUGAGGCUUUUUUGCAUCUUCUUUGAAACAAAAAACCAAAGCUUGAUUUGGAAAAGAUGGGGUACAUUGGGGCACAUGGUGUGGCUGCUUUGCAUAAAUACAAGUAUAGUGGUGUGGAUCACUCGUACACUGCGAAAUAUGUAUUGCAACCCUUUUGGAGUCGUUUCGUUAAAAUAUUUCCCCUUUGGAUGCCGCCCAAUAUGAUAACACUAACUGGAUUCAUAUUCUUGCUCACAUCUGCGCUGCUUGGAUAUAUAUAUUCACCAAGAUUAGAUUCAGCUCCUCCUAGAUGGGUUAAUUUCGCUCAUGGAUUGCUACUUUUCUUAUAUCAGACCUUUGAUGCUGUUGAUGGGAAGCAAGCAAGACGGACAAAUUCCUCAAGUCCACUGGGGGAACUUUUUGACCACGGUUGUGAUGCCCUUGCAUGUGCGGUAUCCCAGCCAAGAUUUGCCUGUGGGCUUGCGAUGUGUGGAAGAACUACCUUCUGGUUUUGGGUGAUUUCAGCUGUUCCUUUUUAUUGUGCAACAUGGGAGCAUUACUUUACCAAUACCCUGAUCCUUCCUGCCUUUAAUGGGCCCACAGAAGGUCUAAUGCUGAUAUAUUUCGCCCAUUUUUUCACAGCUAUUGUUGGUUCUGAGUGGUGGGCUCAACCAUUUUGAAAGUCUCUGCCUUUUCUUAGUUGGGUCCCAUUUAUUCAUGAAAUUACAACAUACAAAGCUGUGUUGUUUCUAAUGGUAGCUUUUGCUGUUAUCCCAACGCUCACGUUCAAUGUGUGCAAUGUUUAUAAGGUUGUUCAGGCAAGGAAAGGAAGCAUGCUAUUGGCACUGGCAAUGCUUUACCCUUUUGCUGUUCUUUUGGGAGGAGUUUUGGCAUGGGGUUACUUGUCACCAGCUGACAUUAUGGGGAACUAUCCACAUUUAGUUGUAGUGGGAACUGGACUUGCUUUUGGGUACCUUGUGGGAAGAAUGAUUCUUGCGCACUUAUGUGAUGAGCCAAAGGGUUUGAAAACUGGAAUGUGCAUGUCACUGUUGUAUCUCCCAUUUGCCAUUGCAAAUGCACUCACGGCUAGAUUGAAUGAUGGAGUUCCAUUGGUCGACGAGAGCUUGGUUCUUCUUGGUUACUGUGCAUUUACAGCGACACUCUAUCUUCACUUUGCAACUUCAGUUGUUCAUGAAAUCACGACAGCCUUGGGAAUUUAUUGCUUUAGGAUAACUAGGAAGGAAGCUUGAAUUUUGCCGGUGUUUACUACUGGGUACCUUCUUUUUUACCCAGUGCAUAAUGCAUCUUUUUGGUACUAUAAGUAGAAGUAUUCACUUUACAUCCAAUUUCUGAGUAUUCAAUUUAUUUUUUCAGCCAUGCUGGCAAGUUAAGAAAGAUCGAGAUUUUUCUUCAAUAUAAAUUUUGUAUAAGAUGAGUUGUGUGAGUGAUGAAGAUCCAAUUUAAUUCAUUCUCACCGUUGUGUUAGAUUUUUUUUUUGUUGUUCCCACUUUGAGACGAGAGUAGAACUAGACCAUUUAAUGCAUCAUUUGAAUUUUAUAAAAAUACAAGUGAGUUUGAUUGAGCA